CUUGCUCGAGGAAAGUUCAAGAUUAAUUCCCGAAAAUCUGAAUUCGAGUCCACAAACUCUUUCUCCCCAGCCUCCAAGAAAACUUGCUUCAAUUGCUUUUUAGCUUCCUAAUAAAAAAUGGCGAAUACUUAAGUAGAAAUAUAUGACAAAUCUUAAACAUCAAAGAAAGCGCAGAACAUUAAAAAAAAUCUACGAAGUAAGCACAUCGCAAACAUCAAAGAACACGAUGGUCACGACAUUGAUAAGAGAAUGCACGAGGAGUUAAUUACCUUCAAAUCAUGCUUCCUAACAUCGGAAGCUUAAGAGCCAAAGCACCCAAUCCAUGAGCAAUUGCCAAGGCAGCCAAGCCAGUCGAGGUCACCCUUUUGCACCAAUUUUUUCCAGCAUAGGAAGCACACUACCGGAUAAAGGAAAAAAACUCACAGGUGAGCACAAUGUUAACAAGGAUAAAUUUAGGGAUUUAGGGGAUAAAUAAAGAAGAGAGCUUGCGGAUAAACCAAGAGGACUACAAAACUAGGGUUUGUUGACGGAGAACACGAGUACCACACUGGGACAAAGGGGCCAAUACUGGAAGACCACGAUUGGAGGCAGGGACUCCUAGGGUUUCAGCCACGAAGGUGACGGUUCGACGAACG
rnacentral:lncRNA from 1 species